rnacentral:rRNA from 1 species
GACGAACGCUGGCGGCGUGCUUAACACAUGCAAGUCGAACGGUGAAGCCCUUCGGGGUGGAUCAGUGGCGAACGGGUGAGUAACACGUGAGCAACCUGCCCCUGGCUCUGGGACAACCACUGGAAACGGUGGCUAAUACCGGAUACGACCCGCCUCGGCAUCGAGUGUGGGUGGAAAGUGUUUCGGCUGGGGAUGGGCUCGCGGCCUAUCAGCUUGUUGGUGAGGUGAAGGCUCACCAAGGCGACGACGGGUAGCCGGCCUGAGAGGGCGACCGGCCACACUGGGACUGAGACACGGCCCAGACUCCUACGGGAGGCAGCAGUGGGGAAUAUUGCACAAUGGGCGAAAGCCUGAUGCAGCGACGCCGCGUGAGGGAUGACGGCCUUCGGGUUGUAAACCUCUUUCAGCUCCGAAGAGGCGAAAGUGACGGUAGGAGCAGAAGAAGCACCGGCUAACUACGUG